rnacentral:rRNA from 1 species
GUCGAACGCGCAGUUUUCUGUAGCAAUACAGGAAAUGGGCGCGUGGCGAACGGGUGCGUAACACGUGGGCAACCUUCCCUUCGGUGGGGGAUACCCCCACGAAAGCGGGACUAAUACCGCAUAACACUCCCUUGGUUAGUUCUGAGGAAUUCAAAGCAGCAAUGCGCCGGAAGAGGGGCCCGCGGCCGAUUAGCUAGUUGGUGAGGUAACGGCUCACCAAGGCUAAGAUCGGUAGCCGGUCUGAGAGGAUGAUCGGCCACACUGGAACUGAGACACGGUCCAGACUCCUACGGGAGGCAGCAGUGGGGAAUCUUGCGCAAUGGGCGAAAGCCUGACGCAGCGACGCCGCGUGGGGGAUGAAGCUUUUCGGAGCGUAAACCCCUUUCGACCCGGACGAAUGCCCGCAAGGGCUUGACGGUACGGGUAGAAGAAGCCCCGGCUAACUACGUGCCAGCAGCCGCGGUAAAACGUAGGGGGCCAGCGUUGCUCGGAAUUACUGGGCGUAAAGGGUCUGUAGGCGGUGCGGCAAGUCGGAAGUGAAAUCGCAGGGCUUAACUCUGCGGCUGCUCCCGAAACUGCCGUGCUCGAGUGCGAGAUAGGCGAGUGGAAUUGCAGGUGUAGCGGUGAAAUGCGUAGAUAUCUGCAGGAACAUCCGA